GUUGAACGCUGGCGGCAGGCCUAACACAUGCAAGUCGAACGGUAACAGAAAGCAGCUUGCUGCUUUGCUGACGAGUGGCGGACGGGUGAGUAAUGUCUGGGAAACUGCCUGAUGGAGGGGGAUAACUACUGGAAACGGUAGCUAAUACCGCAUAACGUCGCAAGACCAAAGAGGGGGACCUUCGGGCCUCUUGCCAUCGGCUUUGCCCAGAUGGGAUUAGCUUGUUGGUGGGGUAACGGCUCACCAAGGCGACGAUCCCUAGCUGGUCUGAGAGGAUGACCAGCCACACUGGAACUGAGACACGGUCCAGACUCCUACGGGAGGCAGCAGUGGGGAAUAUUGCACAAUGGGCGAAAGCCUGAUGCAGCCAUGCCGCGUGUAUGAAGAAGGCCUUCGGGUUGUAAAGUACUUUCAGCGGGGAGGAAGGGAGUAAAGUUAAUACCUUUGCUCAUUGACGUUACCCGCAGAAGAAGCACCGGCUAACUCCGUG
rnacentral:rRNA from 1 species